UACAUAGGGGGCUAGCUUUGUCCGGAAUUACUGGGCGUAAAGGGUGCGUAGGUGGUAGUGUGUGUUGGAAGUGUAAUCCCUCGGGCUUAACUCAGGGGCUGCUUCCAAAACUACAUUACUUGAGUAUCGGAGAGGAAAACGGAAUUCCUAGUGUAGCGGUGAAAUGCGUAGAUAUUAGGAGGAACACCAGAGGCAAGGCGGUUUUCUGGACGAUAACUGACACUGAGGCACGAAAGCGUGGGGAGCGACUGGGAUUAGAUACCCCAUUAGUCCACGCUGUAAAUGAUGGGCACUUGACGUUGGGAGUAUCAACUCUCCCAGUGUCGUAGCUAACGCAUUAAGUACCCCGCCUGGGGAGUACGAUCGCAAGGUUGAA
rnacentral:rRNA from 1 species